GUGAGGAAUAUUGCGCAAUGGAGGCAACUCUGACGCAGCCAUGCCGCGUGCAGGAAGAAGGCGCUACGCGUUGUAAACUGCUUUUAACCGGGAAGAAACCCCAGGACGUGUCCUGGGUUGACGGUACCGGAGGAAUUCGCACCGGCUCACUUCGUGCCAGCAGCCGCGGUAAUCCGAAGGGUGCAAGCGUUAUCCGGAUUCAUUGGGUUUAACGGGUGCGUAGGCGGAGCGUUAAGUCAGUGGUGAAAUCCUGCAGCUUAACUGUAGACUUGCCAUUGAUACUGGCGCGCUUGAGUGCGCUUGAAGUGGGCGGAAUGUGCCGUGUAGCGGUGAAAUGCUUAGAUAUGGCACAGAACACCAAUUGCGAAGGCAGCUCACUAAGGCGAUACUGACGCUGAGGCACGAAAGCGUGGGGAUCGAACAGGAUUAGAUACCCGAGUAGUCC
rnacentral:rRNA from 1 species